AAUUUUCGGUCAAUGGAGGUAGCCGCCUCUCCUCUUCCAGAAAUGCCUUCUUUCUCUUUCAUCCACCCAUAUUCUCGAUCAAUUUGGUGCUCCUCUUCCAGAAAUUUUCGGUCAAUUGAGGCUUGCGACGCCUCUCCUCUUCCAGCCACUCCCUCCUUCUCUCUCGUCUGUUGAAGGCCGGUGCUCACCGCCACCGCCGAUCCGGCGAUCUCCGCCGUCUCCACACCGAUUGCCGACUUUCCCUUCGCAUUUUUCCGGUUAUCUUCCCACCAAUCGGGAUAUCCGACGAGCCGAAAGCACAUCUCCUUCGUAUGUCGCUGCAUCCCACAGUGACUACAAUGGAGUUUCGAUUUAUCUACCUUCUUUCGCGAUGAUGGGGCGUCGGUUUGGUAUGUCUGAGAUCUUGCGGUGGUGUUCUGUUGUUGGGCUCCUUCCGGCCGUGAGAAAGGAGGUCGAGAGGUGGUGAGGCCAACGCCGAUUCCUCCCGAUGAUGUAACUUCAGAGUCGGUGGGGAAAGUUGCCGGCUGUAAGAUCAGAAGCCGGGCGGCCUCCCUCCGUACUUUCGAAAAUGCCGACUCGGCUGAGGGAGAGGGAGAUUCCUUAAGGAUAUCUCGCCGGAUUCCGUCAUACUUCGCAUUUAAUCCGGAAAGAAAUUGAUAGAGGCGGCGAUUCUCGAUUAAUUUCCGGUACUUUGAGAUUCCUUCCUCGCAACAGCCGAUAGGAUUGGGCUCUCUUCGAUCAAUAUUGAGCCAAAUGGUCUGUAGAUUACUCCAGUAGUCUUCCAAGGAAGGGAAAGACCGAGAUUGGUCAAGGCAGAUGGCUGUAUUGGUCGAGGUAAAAGGUUUGAGGGUAUGGAACGAUGAUGAGAAAAAAAACUGAGUUCCAAGAUUAAUCCUGCUCUGAUACCAUGUUUUCACAUGAUAUUGACAUUGAUAAAGAAAAGAUAGGUAAAGAUUGUUUAGCUUGUAUUGCUUCUAAUUAUAUUUCUUGGAUUUACAAUCAUUCAUUUAUACUACAAAAUGUAAGAUCAUAGUCGUACAAAAAUCCCUAUGAUUAAGGGAUUUUUGUUCAUUCCUGACUUUGCAUGCUCCAUUUAUUGCUUUGUUCAUUUUUGACUUUGUAGA